AAGUCGAAAUCCGCUAAGGAGU
rnacentral:sRNA from 1 species